rnacentral:misc_RNA from 1 species
GUCCCUCUCUAUUAGAUCCCCAGGUAAAGACUUCCCCACCCUCAGUAGCAAGAACAGUGUGAUGUUUGGCAGCUGCAAUUGCCUUCACCCGGCGAGACCCUAAACCAGAAGUCACCUGUCGGGGAGUAAUAACUGCAGCUUGACCACUGUGGAUAUCAAAAUCAGGAUGCCCAAGGCGCCCCCCCCUUCCAAAUCCCCAGGAGUAGACCUCCCCACGUGCACUAACUGCUACACUAUGGAACUUCGCAGCCGAGACCAAUUUAAUAAAAGAACCAUGAAGUGCAUCAACUUUGCA